ACGAACGCUGGCGGCGUGCUUAACACCUGCAAGUCGAACGGAAAGGCCCUGCUUUUGUGGGGUGCUCGAGUGGCGAACGGGUGAGUAACACGUGAGUAACCUGCCCUUGACUUUGGGAUAACUUCAGGAAACUGGGGCUAAUACCGGAUAGGAGCUCCUGCAGCAUGGUGGGGGUUGGAAAGUUUCGGCGGUUGGGGAUGGACUCGCGGCUUAUCAGCUUGUUGGUGGGGUAGUGGCUUACCAAGGCUUUGACGGGUAGCCGGCCUGAGAGGGUGACCGGCCACAUUGGGACUGAGAUACGGCCCAGACUCCUACGGGAGGCAGCAGUGGGGAAUAUUGCACAAUGGGCGGAAGCCUGAUGCAGCAACGCCGCGUGCGGGAUGACGGCCUUCGGGUUGUAAACCGCUUUCGCCUGUGACGAAGCGUGAGUGACGGUAAUGGGUAAAGAAGCACCGGCUAACUACGUG
rnacentral:rRNA from 1 species